CACACUCGCACUUUCACAGUGGGUCACAUUGCUGCUUUAGAGUUAUUUCACACACACAUACACACACACUUUCACAGUGGGUCACAUUGCUGCUUUAGAGUUAUCUCACACACACAUACACACACACUUUCACAGUGGGUCACAUUGCUGCUUUAGAGUUAUCCUCCAGGUUCUCUGGUUACUUUGAAGCACCCAAAAUCAUGCCAGCAGGUGAAAGUAAAAUUGCCCCAAGAUGUGAAUGUGUAUGCCUGGUUCCACACAAGUGACUGACAUCCAAUCCAGGGUGUGUACCUGGCUGUUUGCCAGAUUACCAGUGACCAGGAAAAAGGAGUUACCAAAGAUGACUGCCUGAAUGAAUGAAUGAACAACUGUCCAUAACAUUAUCGCUGUAUGAGAACUGACCAGAAUGAGGAUCCCAAGACAAGCUGCCAGGAUGAACACACCAGUGACAAUCAGAAGGCCUGUAGUGAACAUUUGCAUGCUAUGUUUGGGUUCUUUCUCAUCCACAUAAUAAACUAUGAUGCUCUCAAUCUCCAGUUUUUCCCCUUCGAAUGAUGGUUCAAACUUAAGUUGGUCACUGAAGAGUGACUGCACUACAACCUUGUGGGAAAUAAUAAUUAUUUUGAAAGGCCACAAUUAAGGAGAAAUCAUCAAAUUACCUCUGCAACUGGGAAAGCGCCAAGAGGUUGCUGGUCUUCUUGUGCUUCAUCUCAAUACGUACCCAGCUGUAGAAGAAGACAAUGCUAAGUAUUUUAGAUUCAAUCAUUUUAUACUAAUAUUUCAGACUGACAGGUUAUAUUUAUACUGACUUUGGCAGAACUAACUCCUCACACUGAAGGUUUCUGUCACCGUUGUCAGAUUGACGCACACCUGCACUGUCUACACACCAGCACACAUCACUGCUAUUGCACUGCUUGGCCUUGAAGAGUCCAUUGGGUUGACACUCUGGAUCAUAAAGCCCUUCAUCAUCAGUCAGAGCUGUUAUAUUAUUCUCUGAGAACAGCUGAGAGUGGUAGACUUCUGCUUUCACCUGGAAGCAUUUUGGAAUCACUGCCAUAGAGGACAGAUUGAAGGUCAAGUCACCAACAGACUUUAAGCUCUUGAAAUGGUUGAAGGCUGUAUUUAAAUAUGUACAAUGGCAAAAGUUUGCAUCCCCCAUGUUUUACAGAAAACCUGUUCUACCUAGGGAAAUCAGUUAUACAAAUAAUCUGCAGACAAACGUUCAAGAUGAAGUGUGGGUGUGUCCUGUAAGGCCAUAAUCAAGCACAAAACAAAUCUAGGUUUUAACAGUCUUCGGUCUGUUGACCUGAACUGAAUAACUUGUCAGUGAUCAAACAUAUGGCCAGAAAAAUGUUUAGAGUUGUUCAUGUACUAAACACAAACUAAAGUUUAGAUGAAUUCAUAAGACUCAAGAUUAGCUCUUUAUUAGUUUGUGAUUAGUACAUACACUACCUCAUCAUUAGGGCAUAAUUAACUAAGCAUUAAUUCAUGUAUUAGUGGCUGAUUAUUCAUUUGCUGUUAUUGUACAGUGUGAUCAAUAAAUUCUUCACUAUGCUUUAAGGGUAUACAAACGUUUGCACUGCCAAAUACAAUGCAAAAAAGUCAAA